ensembl:lncRNA
UUUCAAGGUCUUGCUGCUGAUGGACCAUGCUCCAUUUGAACAUCAAGUGGAGCAGGAGGCAGUCUUCAUCCGGAACAGUGGAAUUUUGAGGGGAUGUUUCUGUCUUAUGGAGAGGAGUCUCUGCGUCUCCCAGGAUCAGCCAACACGGACACAGAUUUCCAGAUGGUGACCAUCACUUCCUGCCAUUGCUCCUGCUGCCUGCUCUCUCUUCAUCAUCGGUAUCUAGCAGGAGAUCACGAAGCUCUGGAGGCACGGUUCUAUCCAGGUCAUCAUCAGAAACUUCUUCCACCAGACUGGAAGGGACCAGUCCUCUUGUGCCGUCCGUCAGCUCUCCCAGCAACCAGCCAUCCUCAUCCAUGUCUCCAAAGACGUAAACGUACUGUCCAGCGGUCAGUGGAAGCUCGUUUUCUGGGUCCUGAUUAGGGCCCUCAACAGGAUUGUAGCUGUGCCGAGCUAAGAAUCUUCGAACUACUGGUGAUGUUUCACUGCGAGAAAGCAGGUUGCAGGCUGCCACCAGCCACACUUGCGACUCAUCCAGCCUUUGCCGUGGGUUGGAGCAUUCCUGUUUGGGAUUUCCAUGUGGCCAC